CACGGCACAGCACGGCACGGCUCCGCCACGCACCCCCGCAAAGUUCUUUACCCAGAAACUGCUGCAGAGUGCCUUAGGAUAUGUUUCUGCUGUUACUUCUAAACACCUGGAAAAAAUUAUAGGGGAAGCGUGACUCAAGCCGUCUGUCACUGAGCAGAACUGCUGAGAGGGGAUGGCUGCUCAUUUCCAGACCCUUCCAGGCCUUGGGAAAACUCUGACAGCAGUGAGGUGCUUGGCUAAAAACUGCAUGUCAUGGGUUUGUAAGCAACAUAUAAAACGCUGUGUGCAUACAUGUUUAUAUACCUAAAAUUAUAU